rnacentral:tRNA from 1 species
GACACGAUGGCCGAGUGGUCUAAGGCGCCAGAUUUAAGCCCUGGUACGGAAACGUGCGUGGGUUCGAAACCCACUCGUGUCA